GUUAUAAUAAUUUAAAAAAAAUAGUGGUUUUGUAAACCACAUUUGGCUCCCCUUAUAACA
rnacentral:tRNA from 1 species